GGCGCUGCCGGGCGGGCGCCGGGGGCUCGGGCUGCGGGAAGUGGCCGCUUCUGCCAGGACACAGCGUAUCCGCAAGUGCUGCGAACUGUGCCACGGACACAGACAAGAAGAAGCUGCCGUGCACAGACCAGCAGAAACCACACAGAAGGCGCAGAGAAUAAAGACACAAUCACUAGAGCUGAAGUGGCUGAUGCCCAGGUGCGUGUGACCUGCUGUGGGGCAGUAUCUCCAGUGCAAGAGACUGACCAGUCUGCUUUAGGAGCAAGGCUGCUCUUCUAACGGCUGAAAUUACCGAGAGCUGUGUUAAGGGGCGGGACGUCAAGGCAUGGCGGAGGUGGCAGUAGAGCGGCACAGUGGUGGCAUGAACAAUGAGGCGGCCAGCGGCCGAGGGACUGGCAGCGACGCGGCCAGCGGCAGGGUGAACGAUGAAGCAGUGGCAGCAGCAGGCAGCAAGGCAGAGUGAAGGGUGGAGCAAGCCGCUGAGGCACUGUUCAGCCCCUCCCCCAUACCCACUGUGGUGGGAGGUGAACUCACCCGAACGCACCUCUGAAUUCUGCAUCUUUGCUGACCAAGCACAACAACUGUGAGUGCAAUGUGGUGGAGGCAGAGGGGAGUGGCAAGUUAAGGGAACACUUGUUUGUCGGACUUUCACACUGCAAGGUGAGAACCUGAGGCAAAGAACACUGCCCAGUGUAUUGUGGGGUGGGGGUUUUGCUCAUGGUCACAUGCUUGUGGUGGUUCCCCAAAUUAAUGCUGGCUUCCUUUCCCCUUUUUAUUGAAAGUUUUCUUUUCUACACUCAGACUCAGUACUUGCCAGAGGGGAAGUAUUGACUCUUAGAGGUGCCCAAGGGCAGUGUAAUUUUUGCCAGAUUACCAGUGGGGACUCAAGCCAGUUCUGUAUUCUGUUGUUAAGAGGGAUCCCUAGAUAUUGAACCCAACCUCACCUGGCAGAAGGGUUACAUUGUAAAAACAGUUACUUCUACUCUAAAGAGCUAAUAGAGAGGGUAGAGGCAGAUCUGUCAGAAAGGUGUUUGAGAACUGCCACAGUGUUAAAUGCAGGAUGGGAGCGAUUGGGGUUUUAUUGUCAGGAUUAUUUUCUCUUUGUUAUAGACAGUCCUGAGAUACAACAUCCUCAUGCCCAAAAAGAUAUCUGGGUUCAAUCUCUCUCUGCAGACAGCGAAUGCUUCCUGCACAGCAGCCUUGCAGCAAAGUUUGAUCUGCUCCUUUCAGCCAGGUCACUUCCCACCAUUGCCCCAGCUCCCUGAGUGAUAAGAACCAGCCAACUGGGAAACAGGGGAGGGGAGGGUUUAAAACAGGACUAUCGAUUAUAAAUAUUGUUACAAAUCUGGAGCACCCAAGGACUUCCCUGUUGUCACUCUGCUGAACUGCAUGGCCCCUGAGGGCUGCACUGUGACUGUGUGCAUAGGACUUGGCUUCUCCUGCCCCAAAAACCUGGGCCUCAAUGACUGGAGGAAAAGGAGAUUCUCCACUAGAUGUUAGCAGUAUAGAGUCUAUGGUACACAACUAAGCAUUUCUGAUUCUAUCCAGCAAUGCCCUAGAGUGCACAUAUACACUAAAUAGUUGAGUACAGUGUUAGUGCUGUUUUAUAAUGGGGAUGAUUCCUCCCUGGGCUCAAUCGUUAAGUAGUCCCAGCCCUUGUAUGGGGCCACAUCCCCAGGGCUUCCUCCCUGGAGACACUAUCUUCCUACAGCUGGGCUCAGUCCUUUCUCAGUCCCAGCAGCCAGCCGGGAGCUCCUUCAUUGCUCCCCCAGUCCCUGCUAGCAAAUUGUCUUUGGCUCAGUCCUGGCAGCCAGGCAGGAGCUUCUUACUCCCCCGGUCCCUGCCCCCACUUAGCUGCCUGUGCUCCUGCCGCUUUUCCAGCCAGGCACACAGUCCUUUCUUCUCCAGCUCCAAACAGCAACUAACUGAUGAUCUGUUCUGCAGCUCCUUUUAUAUGGUCCUCCUGGCCCCUGAUUGGCUAUUCCAGCAGCCCCUCUGAUUGGUUGCUUCCUCGCAACCACUCUAGGCCUCUUGGAGGAUCUCUCCACAGGUCCUUUCCUGGGACGGGUGUGGCAAACCCUGAGGCCUCCAGCCAGGGCCUUUGGGCCUACUCCACCCCAUCACAGGCCCCCAGAUAACAAAGUCCAGUAAUUUUGGAUCGUGUCCCUGUACUAUGGUCCUAGUCAAACACUUGGAACAUUAGUUCCCUCACCCUGCAUGGAACUUAGGGUGUUUCCAUAAAGCACAGUUUCUGUCUCUAGGUAUUUAUAGAGCACCAGCACCAUAGAAACCAGGCACUGUAUUAAUAGGCCUCCUCUCAUGCCCUGUCCCUCCAGGGGGCCCUUCGCUACCCUCUCUCUCCUCCAUGUCAUUAAGUAGCCACAGUGCAACAGGUAAAUCAGAAAGGUCUUCACAGGCUAUUCGUGCUCUGGAGCAGAAUGUUUCCUCCUCAUUCAUGAUGUAGACUGAUCCAGUCUCCCUGGUUUCAGUAAUGCCGGAUAUGCAAUAGCUCCAGCAUGGCCACUGUUGAUGGCAAGAUGCUCUCAGGCUUCAUCUCUCUCAGAUCAUCCCUGCGGAAGGUAAACGAUGGAAGCGACAUGAAUAAACCACCCCAGGGGCAGAGGGGGUUACAGGCUGUUAUACCCUGGGAUGGAUAAAGGGAGAGGACCGGGCCAGCCAACCAGUGUUCUGAGCAUUGUGGGCAUUCACUGGAGCCCACUUGGCUCAGGACACAUUGCCAUCCCCUUCAUUACAUACAACCAGUAACCCACUUAAUGAAACAAACAUGAUACUCAAGUUGUGUGUAGAUUUCCUGUCAAACUGCUGCAGACUAGCUUAGGCCACACACAUACAACCUAGAGACCGAUUUUAUAGGUAUCUAGGUAUUUAAAUACCUUUGAAAAUUUGCCCCCAGUGAUUAUUUUGCAGUUCCCACUUUGACCACUAGAUGCCAUUGUUCUUUCACAGGAAUAGAACUGCCACUACUCCCAGUAGCUAAGGAAGUGGUGGGUCAUAAUAUCAUCACAUGGGCAUUUCUGCAGGAUCUGGGACGCCUCUUAUGUUUAAUGCUUGUUAAUAAUGGAUCCUCUUUCCCAGUUCUUUGUUUAAAGCUUCAGGAUGAUUGUGUGAUGAUGCGGAUGGAAACCAAGAACAACUGUGUCCCCUUUUACAUGGAGAACAUAAAUUCAAAGAGAGAUUUCCCCCCUGGUGUUAUAUAUGUCUACAAGCUUUAAACAGAUGCCUUUUGAAAAUUUUUAGUCUCAGGGCCAAAAAUCUUAACAAGGCAACUGUAAAGAAACUGAUUGGAUGAACAGGGACUCUCUGGGGUGAUGGUGCCAUGCAAGGUCUCACAAAAGAAUAUCAGUUUCUCUUUCUCAGCUGAGCAAGAACUUUCUUUGUCCAACAUCAAACCAGCUUCAGUGCUGAUAUGUGAUUACUAUAAAAGAGCUGUAGGGACAGAAACAAACUCUGCAUUUUUCCACUGAGGAGGCAAGAGGUCAGCAUACUUGUAUCAUGAAUGGAAGAUCACAGCGUAGCUUGGCUGUAAUACGCUGGAAGGAUUUUGGGUGAGUUUUUGCUCUGUCUGAUAUGACAAGUAAAGUAUAGGCUCUAGAAUGCAUGUUACGAUUUUAUUUUAUAUGUAACACUUUGUUUCCAAAAUGUCUGCUUAUUAUCACUUGAAUCUCUGCUCUUUGUUUAAAAAACAAAACAAAAAACUUUCUCUAUAGACAAAUCUAAGUGCUGUGUGUAAAGCAGAGCUGUGCUGUACUGCUCUUUGGAAAUGUCAGAUCUGGAGAAGCUGAGAGUGUCCGGUGGAUCGGGGGCUUCGCACUGCAGGUGGAUGCUUGGAGGGCUCAGGGGUUGGAGCGUAUCUAUCAUUAACCAAUACAGAGAGUGGGGCCUGGAAGGUAGUGCUUGUCUUGCCCCAGGCUGGUGGUGUUGGAGAACCGCCCCACAGCAGGUACAGACAAGGCUUCCUCAUGCUCAGGGUGAGUGGUAGCUAGGUCCCUUAUAUCCAUGGAUACCACUGGGAAGCAUCACACAGGCUUCAACUUCUCAAAGGUUUUUGUGAGUUGGGAAUACUCUGUAAUUGGGGCAGGGGACAUUCGUAUGGAGGUUACAGCAGUGGUUUGAUAGAAUGUGACAUUUGGGUUUUUUCUUUUCCAAGCGAACAUGUCUUGCUGAGUGCAGCACAGCCUGUGGUCAGACAUCUCACCCGGAAAGCAGCUGCAAGUCUGCAGCGAUUAGAGUAACGUGACAAGCGUGGAAUGUGAACUGAGGAAAGAAGCCGGACAGCUUAUCUCCCUCUGACUAUAGACUGUUAGUAAAUGUUACACUUACAGUCUGACAGACCGCACGCUGUGACUCUGCAGUCGGUGACUUGGCUAGAUUCAGCUCUAGUGUGUAGGUCCCCUCCACGAACUGCCCCCAGAUCUAGAAGACCACACACUACCCUGGUUCCACGGUCAGACUGAGAACAGUAAUUGGUCAAAGCAUGUAACAUUUCCCAUAAUAAACUUCUCAAAUUCCA